rnacentral:rRNA from 1 species
GACACGACUCUCGGCAAUGGAUAUCUCGGCUCUC